rnacentral:rRNA from 1 species
GCGAAAGCGAGUCUGAAUAGGGCGACGAGUUCGAGGGAUAAGACCCGAAACCGAGUGAUCUAGCCAUGUGCAGGUUGAAGGUGCGGUAACACGCACUGGAGGACCGAACCCACGUCUGUUGAAAAAGACGGGGAUGACGUGUGGCUAGGGGUGAAAGGCCAAUCAAACUUAGAGAUAGCUGGUUCUUCGCGAAAUUUAUUGAGGUAAAGCGUUCAAUUUUGGUCAAAAGGGGUAGAGCACUCAUUAAGCUAUGGGGGCCCAAAGCCUUACUGAUCUUUGUGAAACUCCGAAUACUUUGUGACUUGAAGUUGAAUAGACAGACUUAAAGUGCUAAGGUUUUAAGUCAAAAGGGAAACAGCCCAGAAUUUUUGCUAAGGUCCUUAAACAAUAAGUAAGUGGAUAAAGAAGUUUAUUUCCGACAACAACUAGGAAAUUGGCUUGGAAGCAGCCAUUUUAUGAUGAAAGCGUAAUAGCUCACUAGUC